rnacentral:rRNA from 1 species
CGCGAAGAACCUUACCUGGUCUUGACAUAGUAAGAACUUUCCAGAGAUGGAUUGGUGCCUUCGGGAACUUACAUACAGGUGCUGCAUGGCUGUCGUCAGCUCGUGUCGCGAGAUGUUGGGUUAAGUCCCGCAACGAGCGCAACCCUUUUCCUUAUUUGCCAGCGGGUUAAGCCGGGAACUUUAAGGAUACUGCCAGUGACAAACUGGAGGAAGGCGGGGACGACGUCAAGUCAUCAUGGCCCUUACGACCAGGGCUACACACGUGCUACAAUGGUCGGUACAAAGGGUUGCUACCUAGCGAUAUGAUGCUAAUCUCAAAAAGCCGAUCGUAGUCCGGAUUGGAGUCUGCAACUCGACUCCAUGAAGUCGGAAUCGCUAGUAAUCGCGGAUCAGAAUGCCGCGGUGAAUACGUUCCCGGGUCUUG